rnacentral:rRNA from 1 species
UGGUCAAGUUAUUAAGGUGCAGGGCGGAUGCCUUGGCACUAGGAGCCGAUGAAGGACGUGAUAAGCUGCGAUAAGCUUCGGGGAGUUGCACGUAAACUUUGAUCCGAAGAUUUCCGAAUGAGGAAACUCACUUAGAGUAAUGUCUAAGUAUCAUUAAGUGAAUACAUAGCUUAAUGAGGGGAACUCAGGGAACUGAAACAUCUAAGUACCUGAAGGAAGAGAAAGAAAUUCGAUUCCGUAAGUAGCGGCGGCGAGCGAACGCGGAUUAGCCCAAACCAAUAAAGUUUUCUUUAUUGGGGUUGCGGACAUAUCAUAACGAAGAGGUAUCGUAAUUGAAGAGGUUUGGAAAGACCCACCACAGAAGGUAAUAGUCCUGUAUGUUAAACGAGAAGACUUCAGAUAUGAUCCAGAGUACCACGGGACACGUGAAACCCUGGGAAGCAGGAGGGACCACCCUCCAAGGCUAAAUACUACCUAGUGACCGAUAGCGUAUAGUACCGUGAGGGAAAGGUGAAAAGAACCCCGGGAGGGGAGUGAAAUAGAACCUGAAACCCUGCACUUACAAGCUGUGGAAGCACAUUUCUUGUGUGACCGCGUACUUUUUGUAGAACGGGCCAAACGAGUUACGUUAAGUAGCAAGGUUAAGCACUUAAGGUGCGGAGCCGUAGCGAAAGCGAGUUUUAAACUGAGCGUUUCAGUUACUUGACGUAGACCCGAAACCGGGCGACCUACCCAUGAGCAGGAUGAAGCGAAAGUUAAAAUUUCGUGGAGGUCCGAACCCACGAGCGUUGAAAAGCUCGGGGAUGACUUGUGGGUAGCGGUGAAAUUCCAAAUCGAGCCCGGAGAUAGCUGGUUCUCCCCGAAAUAGCUUUAGGGCUAGCCUCAAGGUGAGAGAUACGGAGGUAGAGCACUGAAUGUCCUAGGGGGUAUUGCACCUACCGAAGACUAUCAAACUCCGAAUGCCGUCAUCUUAUACUUGGGAGUCAGACUGUGGGUGAUAAGAUUCAUAGUCGAAAGGGCAACAGCCCAGAUCGUCAGCUAAGGUCCCUAAAUGUAAGUUAAGUGGUAAAAGGAUGUGGGAUUGCACAGACAACCAGGAUGUUGGCUUAGAAGCAGCCACUCAUUCAAAGAGUGCGUAAUAGCUCACUGGUCGAGUGAUCCUGCGCCGAAGAUUUCCGGGGCUAAAACUUACUACCGAAGCUACGGCAUCAGUAAUGAUGGGUAGGGGAGCUUCACAUACGGGUUGAAGCAUGACCGUAAGGACAUGUGGACAGUAUGGGAGUGAGAAUGUUGGCAUGAGUAGCGAGAUGUGGGUGAGAAUCCCAACAGGCCGUAAACCAAGGUUUCCAGGGGAAGGUUCGUCCGCCCUGGGUUAGUCGGGACCUAAGCUGAGGCCGAAAGGCGUAGGUGAUGGACAACAGGUUGAUAUUCCUGUACUACCGAUAACCGUUUGAGAGAUGGGAUGACACAGUAGGAUAAGCUAAGCACACUGUUGGUUAUGUGUGCCCAAGCAUUGAGGCAGUCAAAGUAGGCAAAUCCGCCUUGAUAAUGCUGGGAUGUGAUGGGGAGCGAAAUUUAGUAGCGAAGUAGCUGAUUUCACACUGUCAAGAAAAGUCUCUAUCGAGGUUAAAGGUACCCGUACCGCAAACCGACACAGGUGGGUGAGGAGAGUAUCCUAAGGCCAGCGAGAGAACUGUUGUUAAGGAACUCGGCAAAAUGACCCCGUAACUUAGGGAUAAGGGGUGCCACCAUCAGGUGGCCGCAGAGAAUAGGCCCAAGCGACUGUUUACCAAAAACAUAGGUUUCUGCUAAGUCGCAAGACGAUGUAUAGGAGCUGACGCCUGCCCGGUGCUGGAAGGUUAAGGGGAUCUGUUAGAGCAAUCGAAGCAGUGAACUUAAGCCCCAGUAAACGGCGGCCGUAACUAUAACGGUCCUAAGGUAGCGAAAUUCCUUGUCGGGUAAGUUCCGACCCGCACGAAAGGCGUAACGAUUUGGGCACUGUCUCAACAACAGACUCGGUGAAAUUGUAAUUCCGGUGAAGAUGCCGGAUACCUGCGACAGGACGGAAAGACCCCAUGGAGCUUUACUGUAGCUUGACAUUGGGUCUUGGUACUACAUGUACAGGAUAGGUGGGAGGCUUUGAAACCAGGACGCCAGUUUUGGUGGAGCCAUCCUUGGGAUACCACCCUUGUAGUACUGGGACUCUAACCAUAGGCCAUGAAUCUGGUCUUGGGACACUGUCAGGUGGGCAGUUUGACUGGGGCGGUCGCCUCCCAAAAGGUAACGGAGGCGCUCAAAGGUUCUCUCAGUACGGUCGGAAAUCGUACGUAGAGUGUAAAGGCAAAAGAGAGCUUGAUUGCAAGACAUACAGGUCGAGCAAGGAUGAAAAUCGGACUUAGUGAUCCGGUGGUUCUGCGUGGAAGGGCCAUCGCUCAACGGAUAAAAGCUACCCUGGGGAUAACAGGCUUAUCUCCCCCAAGAGUCCACAUCGACGGGGAGGUUUGGCACCUCGAUGUCGGCUCAUCACAUCCUGGGGCUGUAGUAGGUCCCAAGGGUUGGGCUGUUCGCCCAUUAAAGUGGUACGCGAGCUGGGUUCAGAACGUCGUGAGACAGUUCGGUCCCUAUCCGUCGCAGGCGUAGGAAAUUUGAGAAGACCUGUCCUUAGUACGAGAGGACCGGGAUGGACGUACCUCUGGUGUACCAGUUGUCCUGCCAAGGGCAUGGCUGGGUAGCUAUGUACGGAAUGGAUAAGCGCUGAAAGCAUCUAAGCGCGAAGCCAACUUCAAGAUAAGAUUUCCCACCGCAAGGGUAAGACCCCAGAAAGACUAUCUGGUUGAUAGGUCGAAGGUGUAAGUGCAGCAAUGUAUUUAGCUUAUCGAUACUAAUAGGUCGAGGACUUGACCAAUAUUUAUU